GAGCUCCUACGGGGGGCAGCAGUGGGGAAUAUUGCACAAUGGGGGAAACCCUGAUGCAGCGACGCCGCGUGAGCGAUGAAGUAUUUCGGUAUGUAAAGCUCUAUCAGCAGGGAAGAAAAUGACGGUACCUGACUAAGAAGCCCCGGCUAACUACGUGCCAGCAGCCGCGGUAAUACGUAGGGGGCAAGCGUUAUCCGGAUUUACUGGGUGUAAAGGGAGCGUAGGCGGCCUGGCAAGCCUGAUGUGAAAUACCGGGGCCCAACCCCGGGGCUGCAUUGGGAACUGCCAGGCUGGAGUGCCGGAGG
rnacentral:rRNA from 1 species